UACGAAGGGGGCUAGCGUUGCUCGGAAUCACUGGGCGUAAAGGGUGCGUAGGCGGGUCUUUAAGUCAGGGGUGAAAUCCUGGAGCUCAACUCCAGAACUGCCUUUGAUACUGAAGAUCUUGAGUCCGGGAGAGGUGAGUGGAACUGCGAGUGUAGAGGUGAAAUUCGUAGAUAUUCGCAAGAACCCCAGUGGCGAAGGCGGCUCACUGGCCCGGUACUGACGCUGAGGUGCGAAAGCGUGGGGAGCAAACAGG
rnacentral:rRNA from 1 species